AAUGUUGCUCGGCACAACUUUUCCUGCUAGGACAGUAUUUAGGAAUUUACUGUCCUGGCAGGAAAAGUUGUGCCAAGCAACGUUACUGUC